rfam:Oryza meridionalis cultivar OR44 (W2112) chromosome 3, whole genome shotgun sequence.
CUUAAACACAAUCAUGAGUUUUCGUAUCCAACUUUUAUCGUCCGUCUUAUUUAUUUAUUUUUUAUGUUUUAUGGUUAGUAUUUUUAUUAUAUGAUAAAAUAUGAAUAAUAUUUUAUGCUUGACUUAUAUUUUAUAAAUUUUAGUAUUUUUUUAAAUAAGACGGUCGAUUAAAGUUAAACACGGAAACUUAUGGCUAUGCUUAAA